CUUUGAAUCCCUAAACACUCUCUAGCCCCCCUUCAAUCCCUAAUCAUCUCCAGCUCUAUUUCGUCGGCGUUCAUGGCUGCUUAAGCCAUCGAAUACCUCUAUUCGUCAUUUACCACCAUCCUUGGCCUUGGGGUUCGAAUAUUGAGACUUUGUUUCGAGGGUAACUGGACCAGAGGUCCUUUAAUGGGGUUUCACGACCAUGUCAGGCUUCUCUCCGGCAAGCCUUUGAAGCCUAGGGUCCUUACCAAGCUCCGAUGAGCCGUCCAGGCUUUUCUCGCCAUUUCUGAGGUCUUUUAUGAAAACCCUAAUUGAUUCGAGGUUCUUUUUCUAUCUUUCUGUAUUAUUUUACGAUCUUCUCUGAGUUUUGUUUGUUUUCUAAAGGUUUUUAAGUAUCUCUCAUCCUAUCUUCGCCUUGUUGUGUUUCCAAAGACUGAUCGUCUUUUUAAAACUUAGGGUUUCUAUGAACUAUUUGAUUCUUUGAUUUUGUUGUUUAUUUGUUGUUACUAUGUGUUCUUCUUCGCGAUUUUGAGCAUCUUCUACUUUAUCUCUAAAUAUUUGCCUCACUGAUUGACUUCAUAGGGUUUUCAUCUAGUUUGUGCUAUGAUCUCUUGACAAUGUUCUGCUCUUUUUCCUCUCCGUCUAUGAUAUCUUUUAUGUGCUGAC
rnacentral:lncRNA from 1 species